rnacentral:rRNA from 1 species
GACAGAGGGUGCAAACGUUGUUCGGAAUUACUGGGCGUAAAGGGCGUGCAGGCGGUCUGUUAAGUGCAGGGUGAAAGCUCCCGGCUCAACUGGGAGAGGUCCUUGCAUACUGGCGGACUUGAGGGGGGUAGAGGAAAGUGGAAUUCCCGGUGUAGUGGUGAUAUGCGUAGAUAUCGGGAGGAACACCUGUGGCGAAGGCGGCUUUCUGGGCCCUACCUGACGCUGAGACACGAAAGCCAGGGGAGCAAACGGG